GUUCCCUUGAGACCACCAGUAGAGUCCGCUGCCUGCUCCGUCCUGAUGGGAGGCACUAGUACUCUUCCCAUAACUGAGGCUAGCCAUCCCAGGACCACACGCACACCCCCACAUCACCCUCGUCCCCUCACAGACGGACACCGAAACAUGAAGAGGUGUACAUGGAUGCGCUGUUUUAAGUUUCACUUUUCACGCUUGUACGGCUUCUUAAGGUUACUUGUGAAAGGUUGGACACUAACAGAAGAAACGAGGAAGAGGAGGUGGUGGUGAAGAAGGAAGAGGGAGUGGGGUGAGGUGGGGGUGGGGCAUCCAUGUUUCCCUCACAUCUUGAAAUCAAGGCUUCAUUCAAAA
rnacentral:lncRNA from 1 species